CAAUGUCUUGGAAGCUGAAAGUGCCCCUACAGGUCAAGGGGAGAUAGCUGGUAAUGCGACAGCUGGCCAGAUCGUGCAAAGAGAUGGAUGGGUGACAGUUGUACGUGAAAACCGAGUUUUAAAGGUGGAUAUGGAAAAAAUGAGGUCUCGAGUAGGAGAGCUUGAAGAGGAAUUCAGUAAAAUAAAGCAAGAGAUGAAAAGGGUGACAAAAUCACAUAGCUCACUCAGUUCACCCCGUGUAGUUGCCCGGAAAUUUGGAUGCAAGCUCCUUGCAAAAUCCUCAGAUGCUCAAACAGAUGUUGCUGGAAGCACGGGACCAACUCCAAGACCAUCAGUCGAGAAGGCUUGUUCUUCUCGUAAUUCCAGGCAUCGGAAAAGUUUCUCCCUGUUUUGAUAGUUAACACACAUGGAAACUAACAUCAAUGUUUCGACAUAGAAACAGCGGUCCAAAGAAACAAAAAAGAAAAGAAAGAUUGUGUUUUGUUGUUGUAUAGGAAAUAUAGUUUUUGUGAAAAGAAAAAGAGAUUCAUAUCACCUACAGUUUUGGUGUCACACAUUUUUCUAAUUAUGAAAUCUUUACCAUUCAUGAUUUUGGGCAUAUAAAUUACAUGAAUGGUUAAGAUCUCAUGUGAUGUAGUAGGAGUGUAGGAAAGAAGAUUG
rnacentral:lncRNA from 1 species